GGCAGGCGCUCAGUCGGUGUGGAGUUGGUCUCGGAUGGAGGUGAUGAGAGUGCAGAUAACCACUGUGGCAGACUUGAAGAAAAUCCACCUCGCCAGGACCAUGAAUCCUGAAGGAAUUUUUUUCUUUGUGUCACAUGGCGCCUCUUCGUGCUGACUUUUGUGACUCGAUGAAGACUGUUUCCAUCAGACGCUGUUACAGCCAAUUUUGUGCCGAAGAUGAAAGACUUCAAGUUCCUCUGAUUAAUGAGGUGGUGGUAAUGCAAUAAAGCAGAUCCUCUCGGUUUGUU